GGAGGCCUCGCGUCCGAGUGCGUGAGCUCUGGGCUCCGGGACGGGUCCUGACCGGGGCCCAGCACUGACUCGGAGCCUCCGGACUGCUACGCCGGCGGGGAGAGGGCGGAGGACUGCGGAGGCGGAGCGGGCCUUAGUAUGGAGGAAAUCUGCAAGACUAGCUCCAGCCAGAGCCCCCAUCCUGUCAUCAGUGUCUGCAUGUGCCAGCCUGUGGGUGACAGGUUUUAGAAUAAGAACUUGGUUCCCUGUCCCCGACCACUUUCCGUCUAGCCGGCAAGAACGACGCGGGAGGACAAGUCAGGAUCCUUCUGCAGCAGUUUAUUGUAUGCGCAUCUUACACUCUU